rnacentral:rRNA from 1 species
ACGGAGGGUGCAAGCGUUGUUCGGAAUCACUGGGCGUAAAGGGCGCGUAGGCGGUUUGAUAAGUCAGAUGUGAAAGCCCACGGCUUAACUGUGGAAGUGCAUUUGAAACUGUCAGACUUGAGUAUCAGAGGGGAAAGUGGAAUUCCCGGUGUAGAGGUUAUAUUCGUAGAUGUGGGGAGGAAUACCGGUGGCGAAGGCGGCUUUCUGGCUGAAUACUGACGUUGUGGCGCGUGAGUGUGUGGAGCACAAAG